GUGGGGAAUCUUAGACAAUGGGCGCAAGCCUGAUCUAGCCAUGCCGCGUGAGCGAUGAAGGCCUUAGGGUUGUAAAGCUCUUUCGCUGGGGAAGAUAAUGACUGUAUCCAGUAAAGAAGCCCCGGCUAACUCCGUGCCAGCAGCCGCGGUAAUACGGAGGGGGCUAGCGUUGUUCGGAAUUACUGGGCGUAAAGCGCGCGUAGGCGGAUUGGAAAGUUGGGGGUGAAAUCCCGGGGCUCAACCUCGGAACUGCCUUCAAAACUCCCAGUCUUGAGUUCGAGAGAGGUGAGUGGAAUUCCGAGUGUAGAGGUGAAAUUCGUAGAUAUUCGGAGGAACACCAGUGGCGAAGGCGGCUCACUGGCUCGAUACUAACGCUGAGGUGCGAAAGCGUGGGGAGCAAACAGGAUUAGAAACCCCAGUAGUCC
rnacentral:rRNA from 1 species